GCACCUGUAACUCAAAUGGAUAGAGUUUUUAACUACGAAUUAAAGUGUUAGAGGUUCGAGUCCUCUCAGGUGUG
rnacentral:tRNA from 1 species